UACGUAGGUGGCAAGCGUUGUCCGGAAUUAUUGGGCGUAAAGCGCGCGCAGGCGGCCUUUUAAGUCUGAUGUGAAAGCCCACGGCUCAACCGUGGAAGGUCAUUGGAAACUGAAAGGCUUGAGUACAGAAGAGGAAAGCGGAAUUCCACGUGUAGCGGUGAAAUGCGUAGAGAUGUGGAGGAACACCAGUGGCGAAGGCGGCUUUCUGGUCUGUAACUGACGCUGAGGCGCGAAAGCGUGGGGAUCAAACAGG
rnacentral:rRNA from 1 species